rnacentral:rRNA from 1 species
AUACGUAGGGAGCGAGCGUUGUCCGGAAUUACUGGGCGUAAAGAGCGCGUAGGUGGAUAUUUAAGUCAGAUGUGAAAACUUGGGGCUCAACCGCAAGCCUGCAUUUGAAACUGGAUAUCUUGAGGGCAGGAGAGGAAAGUGGAAUUCCUAGUGUAGCGGUGAAAUGCGUAGAUAUUAGGAGGAACACCAGUGGCGAAGGCGACUUUCUGGACUGUACCUGACACUGAGGCGCGAAAGCGUGGGGAGCGAACGGGAUUAGAUACCCCGGUAGUCCACGCCGUAAACGAUGAAUACUAGGUGUAGGAGGUAUCGACCCCUUCUGUGCCGCAGCUAACGCAAUAAGUAUUCCGCCUGGGGAGUACGGCCGCAAGGUUGAAACUCAAAGGAAUUGACGGGG